UGCCUAGGAAUAUAAAAAAUGGAUACCUUUCCCGGUGUUACAAAAACAAGUAGAUGCAAUUGAGUUUCUACCAUAACGGGCGGCUACUGUAAUUGGUUACAAUCAGCGAUAUUCAGCUAAUCAGGGAAUAAAACACGAAAUUACUGGUACCGAGACAGAACUGAGCGGACAUCAACGAUUCAUUAAAGGAACGGAACACACUUCCCGGAUCGAUAAAGGCAGAGCUACCUUGGAUCUUUUUAUUUUCGUUGGGAUACUCGAGAGGCUUCAUCCCUUUCCACCGAAACACCGUCUAGACCCGAAUGGGAACGUUCACGAGCUGUCAGACGCAGAUUUUGAUGAGGAAACCACUAUUAACAUGGAAAUUAUACGAUCAUAUUUACGGUAUUGUACAAAAGUGUUAGGGCACCAUGCGAAGCUCGCGUUACACGUAAAUAAAUCUAUGUUAAUGAAAUAAAUAUGAUCUAUAUUUGGUAUUGCGCUUUAUAUAGGGUGUCCCAAAAACCACCACUAACAUCGAAACUACAUAUUUCUACAUUAUUUAACUACAUUAUUUUAGAUCAUAUUUACGGUAUUGUACAAAAGUGUUGAGGCACUAUGUGAA